rnacentral:rRNA from 1 species
AGUGAACGCUGGCGGUAGGCCUAACACAUGCAAGUCGAACGGCAGCACAGUAAGAGCUUGCUCUUACGGGUGGCGAGUGGCGGACGGGUGAGGAAUACAUCGGAAUCUACUUUUUCGUGGGGGAUAACGUAGGGAAACUUACGCUAAUACCGCAUACGACCUACGGGUGAAAGCAGGGGAUCUUCGGACCUUGCGCGAUUGAAUGAGCCGAUGUCGGAUUAGCUAGUUGGCGGGGUAAAGGCCCACCAAGGCGACGAUCCGUAGCUGGUCUGAGAGGAUGAUCAGCCACACUGGAACUGAGACACGGUCCAGACUCUUACGGGAGGCAGCAGUGGGGAAUAUUGGACAAUGGGCGCAAGCCUGAUCCAGCCAUACCGCGUGGGUGAAGAAGGCCUUCGGGUUGUAAAGCCCUUUUGUUGGGAAAGAAAAGCAGCAGGCUAAUACCCCGCUGUUCUGACGGUACCCAAAGAAUAAGCACCGGCUAACUUCGUG